rnacentral:rRNA from 1 species
AUUGAACGCUGGCGGCCGGCCUAACACAUGCAAGUCGAACGAGUGGCGGACGGGUGAGUAAUGUCUGGGCACCUGCCUGAUGUAGGGGGAUAACUACUGUAAACGGUAGCUAAUACCGCAUACCAUCGGAUGUGCCCAGAUGGGAUUAGCUAGUAGGUGGGGUAAAGGCUCACCUAGGCGACGAUCCCUAGCUGGUCUGAGAGGAUGACCAGCCACCCUGGAACUGUGACACGGGCCAGACUCCUACGGGAGGCAGCAGUGGGGAAUAUGGGACAAUGGGCGAAAGCCUGAUGAAGCAAUGCCGCGUGUAUGAAGAAGGCCUUCGGAUUGUAAAGUACUUUCAGCGGGGAGGCGUUACCGACAGAAGAAGCACCGGCUAACUCCGUGCCAGCAGCCGCGGUAAUAC